rfam:TPA: Bos taurus chromosome 14, whole genome shotgun sequence.
UCCUUGGUGGUCCGGUGGAUAAGACUUUGAACUCCCAAUGCAGGGGCCCCAGGUUCGAUCCCUGGUCAGGGAA